GACGAACGCUGGCGGCGUGCCUAAUACAUGCAAGUCGAACGCUUCUUUUUCCACCGGAGCUUGCUCCAUCGGAAAAAGAGGAGUGGCGAACGGGUGAGUAACACGUGGGUAACCUGCCCAUCAGAAGGGGAUAACACUUGGAAACAGGUGCUAAUACCGUAUAACAAUCGAAACCGCAUGGUUUUGAUUUGAAAGGCGCUUUCGGGUGUCGCUGAUGGAUGGACCCGCGGUGCAUUAGCUAGUUGGUGAGGUAACGGCUCACCAAGGCGACGAUGCAUAGCCGACCUGAGAGGGUGAUCGGGCCACAUUGGGACUGAGACACGGCCCAAACUCCUACGGGAGGCAGCAGUAGGGAAUCUUCGGCAAUGGACGAAAGUCUGACCGAGCAACGCCGCGUGAGUGAAGGACGGUUUUCGGAUUGUAAACCUCUGUUCUAAGUGACGAAGAAUGACGGUAGC
rnacentral:rRNA from 1 species